AUGUCUGGACGUGGAAAAGGCACCGCUGGCAAAGCUCGGUCCAAGGCCAAAUCUCGGUCGUCUCGGGCUGGACUGCAGUUCCCGGUCGGCCGGGUUCACAGACUCCUAAGAAAGGGUAACUAUGCUGAGCGGGUGGGUGCCGGAGCCCCGGUCUAUCUGGCUGCUGUGCUCGAGUAUCUGACAGCCGAAAUCCUCGAAUUGGCCGGCAAUGCAGCCCGGGACAAUAAGAAAACCCGCAUCAUCCCCCGACACCUGCAGCUGGCCGUCCGCAACGACGAGGAGCUGAAUAAGCUGCUGGGAGGGGUGACUAUCGCUCAGGGCGGUGUGUUACCCAAUAUCCAGGCCGUGCUGUUGCCCAAGAAAACCGGCGGUGCCAGGAGAUGAAUCCACUUGGUGAGACGCGGAUGCUGUUUCACACUGUUGGGCAGGAGGUGAAAACAUUGGUGCAGACCCACAGCUUUAUUCUCUGGGACAGGAUUGUGACAGAGGACUGCACCGAACGGAAUGCAUUAUCUACGGACCUAGAAGAAAGGGAUCUGUUGCAUUCAUUGCUGAGGAAGCCAAGUAAUUUGGUAUAUUAAAAACGGACGGCUCUGGAGAUGCAGACACGGUGUCUCUGGCCAUGGAGAACAACGACUUGCUCCUUCUUACUGCAGAAAGUGAUAUUAAUAGCCAGCGGUGGAAUGAGAAUGAUGUGCCGACAUAUUUUGACAGUUUUGAGGAUUUCGCCCUCUGCGAUAGACUGGGACACGAGUGUGCACCUUGAUACACCAGGGACGAGGGACGCACGAUGCUUUAAUCAUGCAAGGAAUGCAAACAACACUUAAAGGGCACAAUUAGGAGAGGAAAGGAAAGUAUAAUUUUGCUUUGGCAGACAACUGGAAGGAGAAUCCCAAGGGAUUCUACAGAUAUAUUAAGCUGCAAAAGGAUAGCGAGGGACAACAUUGGCCUUCAUGAUGGUUAGCGUGGUCAUCUGUAAAUGGAACCAAAGGAGAUUAGGGAGAACGUAAUUUUUUUUUUACUUUAAUUUUCUCAGGAAACGGACGCACAAUCUAUAUAACUAAGAUAAGACAUUAGUGAGGUUAUGGGCAAUACUCUGAUUGCAAAAGAGAGGGCAAAUUGGGGUGUAAAUACUUCAUGGCCUCGUAAGGUAUCCCUUUGUUCUUGUUGAAGGUUAGUGCAGAAAUAGCAGGAAUACACAUAGAUAAGAUGUUAGCUGUUCUGUGUGAUCAGCAGUUGGUCUGCCACCUGUCUUCAAGAGAGAGAUAAGGGACACAAUGAAACAGCACCUGGAGAUGUGUAGAGAGCUAUCUGGAGCAGCUCCCCCUUUGAACCCUGAACUGUUUGAAGUGAUGGACAGGCGAUACCCCAGCAGGGGGAUAAAAAGGGACAGGUUCGCUAAGGCAGGCACACACACGCCACCCGAGGUAACGAGACCCUGGAAGCGGUACGCCUCUCACGAGUCGGUGGAAAGUAUCAGACAACGGCCAGGGUGGAAAGGUACGAUCAGCGGGAACCCGGUGUGUGUCCGCCCUUGCCUGGGUGCCAGGUUCACUGCAGAGGAUCGACCGCAUCUGGAGGAGGGGUCACAGUCGGUGACCUCAGGUGACAUCACCAAGGACCUGCCCAAAGGUUGCUUGUGAGCCAUAUCGCCGGUCUGUGAGUGAAGCCGUGUCUGAAUGAUCAGUUGUUCCUGUUCCCUCUCUCUCUUCCCCCACGUUGUCCAUCGCCAUGGCAACGAUUACUGCGAACUGAACUAAAUUGGACUGAACUUUUGUGUCACUUUGAAAUUUGGUCAUUUACCCCUAGACAACGAUAGAGCUUGAUUGAUGCUGUUAU